UUAAGCGACUAAGCGUACACGGUGGAUGCCCUGGCAGUCAGAGGCGAUGAAGGACGUGCUAAUCUGCGAAAAGCGUCGGUAAGGUGAUAUGAACCGUUAUAACCGGCGAUGUCCGAAUGGGGAAACCCAGUGCAAUUCGUUGCACUAUCGUUAACUGAAUACAUAGGUUAACGAGGCGAACCGGGGGAACUGAAACAUCUAAGUACCCCGAGGAAAAGAAAUCAACCGAGAUUCCCCCAGUAGCGGCGAGCGAACGGGGAGCAGCCCAGAGUCUGAAUCAGCUUGUGUGUUAGUGGAACGGUCUGGAAAGUCCGACGGUACAGGGUGAUAGUCCCGUACACCAAAAUGCACAGGCUGUGAACUCGAAGAGUAGGGCGGGACACGUGGUAUCCUGUCUGAAUAUGGGGGGACCAUCCUCCAAGGCUAAAUACUCCUGACUGACCGAUAGUGAACCAGUACCGUGAGGGAAAGGCGAAAAGAACCCCGGCGAGGGGAGUGAAAAAGAACCUGAAACCGUGUACGUACAAGCAGUGGGAGCACCUUCGGGUGUGACUGCGUACCUUUUGUAUAAUGGGUCAGCGACUUAUAUUCUGUAGCAAGGUUAACCGUAUAGGGGAGCCGCAGGGAAACCGAGUCUUAACUGGGCGUUAAGUUGCAGGGUAUAGACCCGAAACCCGGUGAUCUAGCCAUGGGCAGGUUGAAGGUUGGGUAACACUAACUGGAGGACCGAACCGACUAAUGUUGAAAAAUUAGCGGAUGACUUGUGGCUGGGGGUGAAAGGCCAAUCAAACCGGGAGAUAGCUGGUUCUCCCCGAAAGCUAUUUAGGUAGCGCCUCGUGAAUUCAUCUUCGGGGGUAGAGCACUGUUUCGGCUAGGGGGUCAUCCCGACUUACCAACCCGAUGCAAACUACGAAUACCGAAGAAUGUUAUCACGGGAGACACACGGCGGGUGCUAACGUCCGUCGUGAAGAGGGAAACAACCCAGACCGCCAGCUAAGGUCCCAAAGUCAUGGUUAAGUGGGAAACGAUGUGGGAAGGCACAGACAGCCAGGAUGUUGGCUUAGAAGCAGCCAUCAUUUAAAGAAAGCGUAAUAGCUCACUGGUCGAGUCGGCCUGCGCGGAAGAUGUAACGGGGCUAAACCAUGCACCGAAGCUGCGGCAGCGACACUAUGUGUUGUUGGGUAGGGGAGCGUUCUGUAAGCCUGCGAAGGUGACCUGUGAGGCAUGCUGGAGGUAUCAGAAGUGCGAAUGCUGACAUAAGUAACGAUAAAGCGGGUGAAAAGCCCGCUCGCCGGAAGACCAAGGGUUCCUGUCCAACGUUAAUCGGGGCAGGGUGAGUCGACCCCUAAGGCGAGGCCGAAAGGCGUAGUCGAUGGGAAACAGGUUAAUAUUCCUGUACUUGGUGUUACUGCGAAGGGGGGACGGAGAAGGCUAUGUUAGCCGGGCGACGGUUGUCCCGGUUUAAGCAUGUAGGCUGGUUAUCCAGNCUAUCGUUAACUGAAUACAUAGGUUAACGAGGCGAACCGGGGGAACUGAAACAUCUAAGUACCCCGAGGAAAAGAAAUCAACCGAGAUUCCCCCAGUAGCGGCGAGCGAACGGGGAGCAGCCCAGAGUCUGAAUCAGCUUGUGUGUUAGUGGAACGGUCUGGAAAGUCCGACGGUACAGGGUGAUAGUCCCGUACACCAAAAUGCACAGGCUGUGAACUCGAAGAGUAGGGCGGGACACGUGGUAUCCUGUCUGAAUAUGGGGGGACCAUCCUCCAAGGCUAAAUACUCCUGACUGACCGAUAGUGAACCAGUACCGUGAGGGAAAGGCGAAAAGAACCCCGGCGAGGGGAGUGAAAAAGAACCUGAAACCGUGUACGUACAAGCAGUGGGAGCACCUUCGGGUGUGACUGCGUACCUUUUGUAUAAUGGGUCAGCGACUUAUAUUCUGUAGCAAGGUUAACCGUAUAGGGGAGCCGCAGGGAAACCGAGUCUUAACUGGGCGUUAAGUUGCAGGGUAUAGACCCGAAACCCGGUGAUCUAGCCAUGGGCAGGUUGAAGGUUGGGUAACACUAACUGGAGGACCGAACCGACUAAUGUUGAAAAAUUAGCGGAUGACUUGUGGCUGGGGGUGAAAGGCCAAUCAAACCGGGAGAUAGCUGGUUCUCCCCGAAAGCUAUUUAGGUAGCGCCUCGUGAAUUCAUCUUCGGGGGUAGAGCACUGUUUCGGCUAGGGGGUCAUCCCGACUUACCAACCCGAUGCAAACUACGAAUACCGAAGAAUGUUAUCACGGGAGACACACGGCGGGUGCUAACGUCCGUCGUGAAGAGGGAAACAACCCAGACCGCCAGCUAAGGUCCCAAAGUCAUGGUUAAGUGGGAAACGAUGUGGGAAGGCACAGACAGCCAGGAUGUUGGCUUAGAAGCAGCCAUCAUUUAAAGAAAGCGUAAUAGCUCACUGGUCGAGUCGGCCUGCGCGGAAGAUGUAACGGGGCUAAACCAUGCACCGAAGCUGCGGCAGCGACACUAUGUGUUGUUGGGUAGGGGAGCGUUCUGUAAGCCUGCGAAGGUGACCUGUGAGGCAUGCUGGAGGUAUCAGAAGUGCGAAUGCUGACAUAAGUAACGAUAAAGCGGGUGAAAAGCCCGCUCGCCGGAAGACCAAGGGUUCCUGUCCAACGUUAAUCGGGGCAGGGUGAGUCGACCCCUAAGGCGAGGCCGAAAGGCGUAGUCGAUGGGAAACAGGUUAAUAUUCCUGUACUUGGUGUUACUGCGAAGGGGGGACGGAGAAGGCUAUGUUAGCCGGGCGACGGUUGUCCCGGUUUAAGCAUGUAGGCUGGUUGUCCAGGCAAAUCCGGAUAAUCAAGGCUGAGGUGUGAUGACGAGGCACUACGGUGCUGAAGUAACAAAUGCCCUGCUUCCAGGAAAAGCCUCUAAGCAUCAGGUAACAUCAAAUCGUACCCCAAACCGACACAGGUGGUCAGGUAGAGAAUACCAAGGCGCUUGAGAGAACUCGGGUGAAGGAACUAGGCAAAAUGGUGCCGUAACUUCGGGAGAAGGCACGCUGGUGUGUAGGUGAAGUCCCUGCGGAUGGAGCUGAGACCAGUCGAAGAUACCAGCUGGCUGCAACUGUUUAUUAAAAACACAGCACUGUGCAAACACGAAAGUGGACGUAUACGGUGUGACGCCUGCCCGGUGCCGGAAGGUUAAUUGAUGGGGUUAUCCGUAAGGAGAAGCUCUUGAUCGAAGCCCCGGUAAACGGCGGCCGUAACUAUAACGGUCCUAAGGUAGCGAAAUUCCUUGUCGGGUAAGUUCCGACCUGCACGAAUGGCGUAAUGAUGGCCAGGCUGUCUCCACCCGAGACUCAGUGAAAUUGAACUCGCUGUGAAGAUGCAGUGUACCCGCGGCAAGACGGAAAGACCCCGUGAACCUUUACUAUAGCUUGACACUGAACAUUGAGCCUUGAUGUGUAGGAUAGGUGGGAGGCUUUGAAGCGUGGACGCCAGUCUGCGUGGAGCCAACCUUGAAAUACCACCCUUUAAUGUUUGAUGUUCUAACGUUGGCCCCUUACCGGGGUUGCGGACAGUGUCUGGUGGGUAGUUUGACUGGGGCGGUCUCCUCCCAAAGCGUAACGGAGGAGCACGAAGGUUAGCUAAUCCUGGUCGGACAUCAGGAGGUUAGUGCAAUGGCAUAAGCUAGCUUGACUGCGAGCGUGACGGCGCGAGCAGGUGCGAAAGCAGGUCAUAGUGAUCCGGUGGUUCUGAAUGGAAGGGCCAUCGCUCAACGGAUAAAAGGUACUCCGGGGAUAACAGGCUGAUACCGCCCAAGAGUUCAUAUCGACGGCGGUGUUUGGCACCUCGAUGUCGGCUCAUCACAUCCUGGGGCUGAAGUAGGUCCCAAGGGUAUGGCUGUUCGCCAUUUAAAGUGGUACGCGAGCUGGGUUUAGAACGUCGUGAGACAGUUCGGUCCCUAUCUGCCGUGGGCGCUGGAGAAUUGAGGGGGGCUGCUCCUAGUACGAGAGGACCGGAGUGGACGCAUCACUGGUGUUCGGGUUGUCAUGCCAAUGGCACUGCCCGGUAGCUAAAUGCGGAAGAGAUAAGUGCUGAAAGCAUCUAAGCACGAAACUUGCCCCGAGAUGAGUUCUCCCUGAGACUUUAAGUCUCCUGAAGGAACGUUAAAGACGAUGACGUUGAUAGGCCGGGUGUGUAAGCGCAGCGAUGCGUUGAGCUAACCGGUACUAAUGAACCGUGAGGCUUAACCUU
rnacentral:rRNA from 1 species